UCUUUAUCACCGAGUGCUUGCACUCACCGAUAAAGAGUUGAGUGGCGAACGGGUGAGUAACACGUGGGCAACCUGCCCAAAAGAGGGGGAUAACACUUGGAAACAGGUGCUAAUACCGCAUAACCAUAGUUACCGCAUGGUAACUAUGUAAAGGUGGCUAUGCUACCGCUUUUGGAUGGGCCCGCGGCGCAUUAGCUAGUUGGUGGGGUAAAGGCUUACCAAGGCAAUGAUGCGUAGCCGAACUGAGAGGUUGAUCGGCCACAUUGGGACUGAGACACGGCCCAAACUCCUACGGGAGGCAGCAGUAGGGAAUCUUCCACAAUGGGCGAAAGCCUGAUGGAGCAACGCCGCGUGGGUGAAGAAGGUCUUCGGAUCGUAAAACCCUGUUGUUAGAGAAGAAAGUGCGUGAGAGUAACUGUUCACGUUUCGACGGUAUCUAACCAGAAAGCCACGGCUAACUACGUGCCAGCAGCCGCGGUAAUACGUAGGUGGCAAGCGUUAUCCGGAUUUAUUGGGCGUAAAGGGAACGCAGGCGGUCUUUUAAGUCUGAUGCGAAAGCCUUCGGCUUAACCGGAGUAGUGCAUUGGAAACUGGGAGACUUGAGUGCAGAAGAGGAGAGUGGAACUCCAUGUGUAGCGGUGAAAUGCGUAGAUAUAUGGAAGAACACCAGUGGCGAAAGCGGCUCUCUGGUCUGUAACUGACGCUGAGGUUCGAAAGCGUGGGUAGCAAACAAGAUUAGAUACCCUGGU
rnacentral:rRNA from 1 species